rnacentral:rRNA from 1 species
GAUGAACGCUGGCGGCGUGCCUAAUACAUGCAAGUCGAGCGAACAGACGAGGAGCUUGCUCCUCUGACGUUAGCGGCGGACGGGUGAGUAACACGUGGAUAACCUACCUAUAAGACUGGGAUAACUUCGGGAAACCGGAGCUAAUACCGGAUAAUAUAUUGAACCGCAUGGUUCAAUGGUGAAAGACGGUUUUGCUGUCACUUAUAGAUGGAUCCGCGCCGCAUUAGCUAGUUGGUAAGGUAACGGCUUACCAAGGCAACGAUGCGUAGCCGACCUGAGAGGGGGUUCGGCCACACUGGAACUGAGACACGGUCCAGACUCCUACGGGAGGCAGCAGUAGGGAAUCUUCCGCAAUGGGCGAAAGCUUGACGGAGCAACGCCGCGUGAGUGAUGAAGGUCUUCGGAUCGUAAAACUCUGUUAUUAGGGAAGAACAAAUGUGUAAGUAACUAUGCACGUCUUGACGGUACCUAAUCAGAAAGCCACGGCUAACUACGUG